UACGUAGGGUGCGAGCGUUAAUCGGAAUUACUGGGCGUAAAGCGUGCGCAGGCGGUUCUGAAAGUCAGCUGUGAAAGCCCCGGGCUUAACCUGGGAAUUGCGGUUGAAACUACAGGGCUAGAAUCUGGCAGAGGGGGGUGGAAUUCCACGUGUAGCAGUGAAAUGCGUAGAGAUGUGGAGGAACACCGAUGGCGAAGGCAGCCCCCUGGGCUGAGAUUGACGCUGAGGCGCGAAAGCCAGGGGAGCAAACGGG
rnacentral:rRNA from 1 species